rnacentral:lncRNA from 1 species
CUCCAAGCUUGUUGUUAGGUGCUGCAGUUUUGUGAAAGUCCUACAUCAAACAAGGAUACUGAUUUGACCGACUGGCACUGAGUAGAAAGUUCAGAUGAUACCAUCCUACUAUCUCUUGAUAGAAACUUUCACAGCACUGCCUGAGGAGAGGGAAAAUCCCAACACACAUGCAUACACCUCCUUUAAUUCCUAGAAGGUUACUCUAGCUCAGUGCCUAUCAGGUUGCUGUUGCCUAGGAUUUUACAGCUGUACUUAGAGAAGAUAAUCUGUGAUCAGUCCAUCUCAUCUGUAUGAUCACAGGUGCACUAUAUGUGCUCUUCUGACUACAGGCACCUCACAGGCGCUCCAGAUAGCACAUAGCAGUCAACCAAAUGGGAAGUUUAGGACUGAGAGCAGAUUGCUGUGGGGCACGGGAGGAAGUUUUCCCCCCAGGUUGAUGAAAGGCCCACCCCCAGCUCCUGCUGGCAUGCUAUAAUGCUCCUGGAAAGGAGAGCAGAGAAGAUCAAAAGCAAAAUACUACCAAAGAGCAAAACCUAUAAAGAUUCCUC